CACGUAGGGGGCAAGCGUUGUCCGGAUUCAUUGGGCGUAAAGAAGCUCGUAGGCGGUUCGAUAAGUCGGGUGUGAAACCUCCAGGCUCAACCUGGAGACGCCACCCGAUACUGUCGUGACUAGAGUCCAGUAGGGGAGCGUGGAAUUCCUGGUGUAGCGGUGAAAUGCGCAGAUAUCAGGAGGAACACCGGUGGCGAAGGCGGGUCUCUGGGCCGAAAUUGACGCUGAGGAGCGAAAGCGUGGGGAGCAAACAGG
rnacentral:rRNA from 1 species